rnacentral:rRNA from 1 species
UACGUUAGGGGCGAACGUUGUUCGGUGUCACUGGGCUUAAAGGGUGCGUAGGUGGUUUCGUAAGUAAGGUGUGAAAGCCCUCGGCUUACCCGGGGAAUUGCGCCUUAUACUGCGAGACUUGAGGAUUUCAGGGGAAAGGGGAACUCCAGGUGUAGCGGUGAAAUGCGCAGAUAUCUGGGGGAAGGCCGGCGGCGAAGGCGCCUUUCUGGGAAAUUCCUGACACUGAGGCACGAAAGCGUGGGGAGCAAACAGG